rnacentral:misc_RNA from 1 species
UGUGUUGUUGCAACUUCAGGCAUAGCCUUCAGCGGAGGUUUUGGAAGCUAUCUUUUUGGCAUGAGUGAAGUUAUUGCUAAGCAAUCAACAGAAGCAAAUGCUGCAGAUAAUGUCAAGAACCCUUCUUUAGGAUGGAUGAUUACUUUCCUCUUGGUUGUUAGCUUUCUUGGGCUUUUCUCUGUUGUCCCUCUUCGUAAGAUUAUGAUUAUCGACUUCAAGCUGAUUUAUCCGAGUGGUACUGCAACUGCUCACCUGAUCAACAGUUUCCAUACUCCACAAGGAGCUAAGCUAGCCAAGAAGCAAGUAAAAACUUUGGGAAAGUUUUUCACCUUCAGCUUCUUAUGGAGAUUCUUCCAGUGGUUUUUUACAGGAGGGGAUGGCUGUGGAUUCGGGAGCUUUCCCACUUUAGGUCUCAAAGCCUACGAGAACAGGUUUUAUUUUGACUUCUCCGCGACAUAUGUUGGUGUUGGGAUGAUAUGUCCAUAUCUAGUCAACGUAUCGUUACUAGUUGGAGCAAUCCUUUCGUGGGGUAUAAUGUGGCCUCUUAUUGAAGACAGAAAAGGUCAUUGGUACCCUGCUGAUCAAAGUCCUACCAGCCUUCACGGCAUACAAGGUUACAGGGUGUUUAUAGCAAUAGCUAUGAUCCUUGGUGAUGGUCUUUACAACUUCAUCAAAGUACUG